UUCCGGAAGGAUUGACAGAUUGAGAGCUCUUUCUUGAUUCGGUGGAUGGUGGUGCAAGUACGUUCUUAGUUGGUGGAGCCAUUUGUCUGAUUAAUUCCGAUAAUAAACGAGACUCUAGCCUAUUAAAUAGGUGCGUGGUAGUCUGCACCUUGCACCCCUCUUAGAGGGACAAGCGGCUCCUAGCCGCACGAAACAAAGCAAUAACAGGUCUGUGAUGCCCUUAGAU
rnacentral:rRNA from 1 species